rnacentral:rRNA from 1 species
UACGUAGGGUCCGAGCGUUGUCCGGAAUUAUUGGGCGUAAAGAGCUCGUAGGCGGUUUGUCGCGUCUGCUGUGAAAUCCCGAGGCUCAACCUCGGGUCUGCAGUGGGUACGGGCAGACUGGAGUGCGGUAGGGGAGAAUGGAAUUCCUGGUGUAGCGGUGAAAUGCGCAGAUAUCAGGAGGAACACCGGUGGCGAAGGCGGGUCUCUGGGCCGAUACUGACGCUGAGGAGCGAAAGCAUGGGGAGCGAACAGG